CCGUAGGUGAACCUGCGGAAGGAUCAUUAUUGAAAUAAACCUGAUGAGUUGCUGCUGGUUCUCUAGGGAGCAUGUGCACACUUGUCACCUUUAUAUCUUCACCUGUGCACCUUUUGUAGACCUGGAUAUCUCUCUGAAUGCUUWAAAGCAUUCAGGUUUGAGGAUUGGCUUUAGUCUCUUCCUCACAUUUCUGGGCCUAUGUUUCCUUAUAAACCCCAAUGCAUGUCGUAGAAUGUAAUACAAUGGGCCUUUGUGCCUAUAAACCUAUACAACUUUCAGCAACGGAUCUCUUGGCUCUCGCAUCGAUGAAGAACGCAGCGAAAUGCGAUAAGUAAUGUGAAUUGCAGAAUUCAGUGAAUCAUCGAAUCUUUGAACGCACCUUGCGCUCCUUGGUAUUCCGAGGAGCAUGCCUGUUUGAGUGUCAUUAAUAUAUCAACCUCUUCAACUUUUACUUGUUGAGUGUUUGGAUGUGGGGGUCUUUUUUUGCUGGCCUCUCUUAUGAGGUCAGCUCCCCUGAAAUGCAUUAGCGGAACAAUUUUGUGUUGACCGUUCAUUGGUGUGAUAACUAUCUACGCUUUUGACGUGAAGCAGUUCAGCUUAUAACAGUCCAUUGACUUGGACAACUUUUAUUAAUGUGACCUCAAAUCAGGUAGGACU
rnacentral:rRNA from 1 species